AGGCACGUAGCUCAGCGGUAGAGUACCACCUUGACAUGGUGGGGGUCGUUGGUUCGAUACCAAUCGUGCCUA
rnacentral:tRNA from 1 species